GAUGAACGCUGGCGGCGUGCCUAAUACAUGCAAGUCGAGUGAACAGAUAAGGAGCUUGCUCCUUUGACGUUAGCGGCGGACGGGUGAGUAACACGUGGGUAACCUACCUAUAAGACUGGGAUAACUUCGGGAAACCGGAGCUAAUACCGGAUAAUAUUUCGAACCGCAUGGUUCGAUAGUGAAAGAUGGUUUUGCUAUCACUUAUAGAUGGACCCGCGCCGUAUUAGCUAGUUGGUAAGGUAACGGCUUACCAAGGCGACGAUACGUAGCCGACCUGAGAGGGUGAUCGGCCACACUGGAACUGAGACACGGUCCAGACUCCUACGGGAGGCAGCAGUAGGGAAUCUUCCGCAAUGGGCGAAAGCCUGACGGAGCAACGCCGCGUGAGUGAUGAAGGUCUUCGGAUCGUAAAACUCUGUUAUUAGGGAAGAACAUACGUGUAAGUAACUGUGCACGUCUUGACGGUACCUAAUCAGAAAGCCACGGCUAACUACGUG
rnacentral:rRNA from 1 species